rnacentral:rRNA from 1 species
AUGCCGCAGGAGGGUCAUGCAGCACGGCGGCCGCCGUUUCUGAUAAGGAAGCUCAAAGGAAGCAAGACUUCAACAAAAAUCUCUAAAUGCAUUCCAAGCUUCUGUAAGGCGUACGUCAUUUCAAAGGGCAAAUUGUCAUUCGUGCACUCUACACCUGAUGCCUGCGAAACAGCCAAGACCAUAUCUUCUUCAACUAUUUCUUCUCCUAGCUCCGGAAGCCUUUCCACUGCGCCCUCAGCAGAGUGGGCUGACAGAAAUGGAACGUCAGCUGUAUUAUUCCGCCAGUCAUCUCUGCCAUCGCAACGUGAUCACACACUCGUAAAUAUAAACAGGUCAAUCCUGAAGCUAGCCCUUCAGGCAGUGCUGGCAGCGAGAUCUCUUACCAUGUUGAUACAACCCUGA